UUCUGCAUAGCUCGCACCUUCCCUUCCGUUACAAGAAGAUUUUGUUUACCACUGGAAAGCAAUCACCCAUUACUACAUAGAGACAUCAGAUGACAAAGCUCCUGUGACUGAUACCAACAUUCCUUCUCACCUGGAACAGAUGUUGGAUAUUCUAGUUCAAGAAGAAAAUGAGAGGGAAUCAGGCGAAACAGGACCAUGUAUGGAGUAUUUGCUACAUCACAAGAUUUUGGAGACACUCUACACGCUAGGAAAAGCUGAUUGUCCUCCAGGAAUGAAACAGCAAGUUUUGGCUUUUUACACAAAACUUCUUGGAAGAAUACGGCAACCUCUUCUUCCCCACAUAAAUGUGCACAGGCCAGUGCAGAAAUUAAUCAGGCUGUGUGGUGAAGUUCUGGCAACGCCAACAGAAAAUGAGGAAAUUCAGUUUCUCUGUAUAGUAUGUGCAAAGCUGAAACAGGAUCCAUACCUGGUCAACUUCUUCCUUGAGAGUAAGUUAAAAGCAAUGGCUUCCAAAGGAUCAGCAAGUGUAAUCACAGAAGACAUGCUAAAAGGCCAAGACUCUUUGAAAACAGACACGGGACAGCCUGAAGAAAUACAUAGUGCUGCUGGAGCGGAGCAAAUGGAGAAGGAAGAUGACCUCCCGCAACAGGCGGAUGAUCUGUCUUUCAGUCUGGAUGAACUAAAUGUCACAUCAUCACCCGAGUCCUCCACUGUUUGUCCAAAUCAAGACUAUAAUUUAGUGAAUUCUCUACUAAACCUCACUAAAAGUCCCGACGGCCGGAUAGCAGUGAAGGCCUGUGAAGGCCUUAUGCUUUUGGUGAGUUUGCCAGAACCAGCAGCUGCCAAGUGCCUGACUCAAAGCACUUGUUUAUGUGAAUUGUUGACAGACAGGCUGGCCACCCUCUACAAAGCCCUGCCUCAGUCACUGGAUCCCUUAGACAUUGAAACAGUGGAGGCAAUUAACUGGGGGUUGGAUUCCUAUAGCCACAAAGAAGAUGCAUCUGCUUUUCCAGGGAAAAGAGCAUUGAUUUCAUUUCUUUCAUGGUUUGACUACUGUGAUCAACUCAUCAAAGAAGCGCAAAAGACUGCUGCUGUUGCUAUGGCAAAAGCUGUGCGGGAACGAUUUUUCAUUGAUGUUAUGGAACCCCAGCUGAUGCAAACUUCAGAGAUCGGAAUCCUCACAUCAACUGCACUAUUGCAUCGCAUUGUUCGUCAAGUGACUUCAGAUGUCCUGCUACAGGAAGUAGUUUAUUUUAUACUUGGAGAACACAGAGAGCCAGAAACUUUGACAGAUAUCAACAGACAUCCAUUGCGACACAGGUUAAUUGAACACUGUGAUCAUAUUUCUGACGAGAUCAGCAUAAUGACUUUACGAAUGUUUGAGCACCUUUUGCAAAAACCCAAUGAGCACAUUCUUUAUAAUUUGGUUCUGAGAAAUUUAGAAGAAAGAAACUAUAUGGAAUAUAAGCCUCUCUGUCAAGAAGAUAAAGAUGUGGUAGAGAAUGGACAGAUUGCAGGAGCAGUAGACCUAGAGGAAGAUCCAUUAUUUACUGAUCUGUCUCCAGAUAACACAUUGUCAACUCAAGAGUGGCUCAGUGCUUCUCCACCUGUCAGUCCAGAACAUCCAAAAAAUGAUGGGAAGACUGAAGUUCAUAAAAUUGUAAAUAGUUUUCUCUGUCUUGUACCUGAUGAAGCUAAGUCAUCAUACCAUGUGGAGGGUACAGGUUAUGAUACUUACCUCAGAGAUGCCCACAGACAAUUCCGGGAUUAUUGUGUCAUCUGCUUACGGUGGGAGUGGCCUGGAUCUCCCAGAUCUUUGGAAAAGUGCAAUUUAGAAGCAUCAUUUUUUGAAGGACACUUCUUGAAAGUCCUGUUUGAAAGAAUGGGCAGGAUUCUUGAUCAGCCCUAUGAUGUAAAUUUACAAGUUACAUCAGUGUUGUCCAAACUGUCCUUGUUUCCCCAUCCUCAUAUACAUGAAUACCUUUUGGAUCCUUAUGUAAACCUAGCUUCUGGAUGCAGGUCUCUCUUCUCUGUUAUUGUCAGGGUCGUUGGGGACCUCAUGGUUAGAAUCCAACGCAUCCCAGAUUUCACUCCCAAACUUCUGCUGGUCAGAAAACGCCUGCUGGGCUUGGAGCCGGAAGGGCCCAUCAUUGACCACAUGACGUUACUAGAGGGCGUGAUUGUGCUGGAAGAAUUCUGCAAAGAGCUGGCAGCAAUUGCAUUUGUGAAGUAUCAUGCCUCAUCUACACCAUAAGCAGCCUUGAUGAGUAGCCAGGCUGUAAAACCACCUAGCUUGUUUCAGUCGAAAAGGCUAUUGACAACACUGAGAUAAGAAGAGGUGGUGCCUCCUGGCAAAGUGUCAGUUGACAUUUGGCAGAAUUGGAAGACAAGUUACUUUCACCAGAAGUUGACAUUGCAAGAAAGAGGGAUUCAGAUGGACCUAGAAUAUGAUUGAAGGCAUUUGGGGAGAAACCAAUACAGAGCAUUUCUAGCCACUGUGUGAAGAGCUGCAAAAGCUGCAUGAAGAGCCACAGACAUCAGACCUUGGUUAUUCUGUUAUAAUGACAAUGUUUAGAGAGUUGGGUCUUUUGUAUGUUCUGGGGCUCGCAUACGCCAAUUUGCUUUUUUUGACCAUACUACUUUUAAAAAGCAAAUUAAUUUUAUAACAUUUUCAUGUCAUAAUUCUUUUUCUUUUCAGUUGGAUAUAUGAAAGGAAAUCACAGCUAUAGUUGCAAUGUAUAUUAUUAAGAAUGAAGAGCUUAAAAAAAUCCACUAAUCCAUAUACAGUGGGAUAUAUUAAUGAGGGAUCAUUUUUGUUUUGGUGAAUCUUAAAGACAACUCUGAGCUUGAUUCCCCAAUGGAUUACUCCAAGAGAUACAUCAGUAUAAAAUCAAUACUAAUGGAAUCAAUCCUGAUUCAGCAUCACAUCCAUAACAAGUAUAUCUGAAGUGUACAUGUUUUUAGCAUGUUUGUCUCUGUCAUUCCAAGUGAUUGCUCUUCAGGUCAUCUGCGUAACUAGAUUUGCUUUAGGUUUUUGCAUGUGAACUCUAGUUGCUUGACUCAUGUCACCUUUACAGGGAAGUUAAUUAUAGGUCAUUAGUAGUUGUUGCUGAAACAGUAUUUUUAAUUUCUUUUAAAUUGGAAUUUAGCCUGAAUUGGUUUAAGAAUCUUUUGUGCCUUGAAAAUUGGCAGCAUAAACAUUCUGUCAUUUUUAGAAAUGUUUUUUUAAUUGCUUAUCUAACCAUAGCAGUAGUGGCCAGCAAAAGAUUGACUGAUGCCAAUUCAGUUAAAGUGUUGAUACCAUAUAUAGGACCAAAAUGUACGCCUGCUUUUCUUAGUACUGGGAUGCAGAAGUGUCUCAGUGCAUCUUUUUUCAAUAUGAAUACUAUCAGCCAGGGCAGGCAUUUGCAUUGCAAGCAGAGGGCCAUUCAGACUUCAGCAUGCUUUGCUUCUAUUUCUCUAGCGCGAUGGCAGCCUGCACUUUGAGACAGUUCCUGCUGCUCACUGCCACAUAUGCACUGGCAGGUUCAGGUGGCUGUGCUUUAACGUUCAGGUCACACUGAGUUGAGUGACUUGGAUGAGAGACCUGUCCUGCUCUCCACACAGGUGUGUAGUACCUCUUUCCCCUCCUAUGAACAUAAUAGCCUAGGCAGGCAAGGUAGAGUUUAGCUCCUUGUGUUUACAUUGUAUUUCUUUGUUUGUCUUUCCUACUAUCCUAUUUGCACAGCUAAUGCCCAUUUCAGAUGAGAUUGCUCGUACACAAAUAUGGACUAAUUUACUUGGUCACUAGAAUUUUUCUGGAUUUACGUAACUGUACUUAGAAUCAGAUUAUGCUCUGAAUCCAUGCCUUUGAGGUCUUGUUUUUUAAUAUUUAUGCAACCUGGAUGUUGAGAGGCCUUUUAAGUUAGCAGGUUAAUUAGAACAGUGUCACAGUUAAUGGACUAAAUUUAUUCUUGUCACAACAGUGAGGAAGGUCCUGCUGUAAAAGCUUCCAGUACAGGUUCAGCUGGAGAGAGCAGUUCUGGAACUGGGGAAACAUUUUGGCAGGUAAAAACCUGUAUUCAUUGGCUCCAUAUACUGGGAGGCUUUUGUGCAAAGCGCUGCAUUUAUCUGGCAAACAGAAGUGUAUUUUACUUCCUCACCUUUUUUUUUCUGAAUUUAGGCCCAAAGUGUUUUCAGGUCAAAGUGGCAUAGCAGGAUAAAGUUUAAAAAAAUGACACUUUUCACUUUUGUACUUUAGAAACAUACCCUGAAAGUAGCAAAUAAUUUUUAGUGAUAUGUAUUGCAGUCAGUCCAUAUUAGAAGCUUCGUUAAUGUAACAUACCUGACACAUAGUUUAGAACAUGUAAACGUCUAUGCAGAGCAAUGUUUAAUACAUACAUUUGUUAUAAAUAAGGUCCCAAUUCAGCAAAGCAGUUAAACAUAAGCUUAAUUUCAAGAAUUUUAUUCCUAAACAACAGUCUUUUACAUGAACAAAGUUAAGCUGUUGAGCGCAAAUGCUGAUGCUUUACUGCAUUUGGGUCUUUGUUGGUUUCGCUUGAGCUUAAUUACUUUCUCCUCAAAUCUUCUAUUUUCAUUAUUUAUUUUUUUUAAAGUGUAUGUUCCAGAAUACUUCUAAUGUCCCAAUUUCAGUGGAAACCGGAAGUGAUAAUACUACUAUAAAUGAAAGUGAGAGAAAUGUUAAACAAAACUUGCAAGAGCAUUCCAAGAAAUACAAUUUAUAAAGCCAUUCAAGAGAUGAUUGAUCUCAAAUGAAAGCAUUAACAUCACCUCUUUUGUUGUUGUUGUUGUUGUUGUUUUCACUGAUACCUGAGCUCAUUACACUGUAAGGACUUGUAUCAGUCAGCUUCUGGAAGGACUGCUGCAACCUCUGUUGGAUUUUAAUGCAAAACAGUCUACCGAGCUGCAAACACAAAUCUUUCAAGCUUGUCCAUGAAGAAAAUAAGUAGAUAUAACUAUAAGCACUCUUAAAUUCAGGAUCUAAUUGUUCGGUCUCCAGCAACAUAGGUGAUGUUCUUGCAAACCAAAUGUUAUUUAGUUGUUAAAUUUGUAAGACAUGGAUCCAUCCUGAUAGAAGUGAAGCAAUCCUUGAAGUUGCUUUAGCCUAAACUGCUUUUGUGAGUGCUGCCUACAAACCCUUAAUUACAGUACAUGAUGACAAUGACCUUUAUUUUUGUAAAAGUGAUUUAAUCUUCCUUAAGAGAUGGAACUCAAUUAUUUUUUGGUGAUAUUUUUCAUGCACUUUUUUUUAAAAAAAAAGGUUAGAAGUUAGUUCAGGUCCAUGUUUUCACCUUUCCGAUCUAUGCAUGUCAUUGAGGUGCCCAUUUUGUUUCUGUGUGCGUGUGUUUGUAUGUGGUUAUUUAUUACCCAGAGAUGGACACCUGAGAAAAUAUAUGGCCUGAAGUUCACAGCAUAUGCAGAUCCUCCACAUGUCAGUGGGAAAUGCAAAUGCUUAUCACCUUAGAAAAUACGGCCACUAGUAUUAGAGUGAAAUACUUGAGAGGUAAUACUAGAGUAAUUUUUUAUUUCAAAAAGCAGAUCCAAACCACAUAUUAAUCCUGAUGCACAUGUGUGUAAAUAGACACAUUUUUUACUUUGUUUCCAUUUAUAGUAUGUAUUUGAUUUAGAUUCCGAUAUAGAAAAUUUUGUAAUAAGCCAUGUGCUAGCUCUGGUAGAACAAGUUUGUCCUUAGUUUCUCAUAUGACUGUAAUAUUCCUGGUAUUCAGAUCCUGUCUGUGUAAUGUUCUUACUAUGUAUUUGUCUGUGCAAUAUAAAAGCUGUGACUUGAUACACAGCUUGAGUCUGGUUGUACAUCGCCUAUGUAUAUAUAUACAUAUAUAUAUAUAAGGACCAGAAUCCCGAGCUUGCUUACACUACUAUUAGUGUAAAGAUUGUCACACUUGAUUUUACAGGGCACAAGUAAUCAUGGAAUGGCUUCAUAAAUGCAUGGUAAUUUCUACCAUAACCUGCUGUGUAAUUUCACAGAUGACAUUUUAUUGUUGCUAUUUGUCUUGCUAAAAGAAAUACUAAACCGAAGUGCUAGGUAAAAUCGAAGGAUUAUGUAGUAGACUUGGGGCUACAUGGAAAAUCCAUGUCUGAUACUGCAUAUCAUAUAGGGUUUUCAAACCAUGAUCCUCAGUGCUUUCUGUGCCCUGUAAAAUAGUGUAACUAUAUGAAAUAUAUACUCCUUGUUUUGCCUCCUGCCUUGUUUACAUUAAACAGAGGAUAUUCAGUAAAAUUUUUCUAUUAAACUUUGUGUAGGUCACUUACUGACAGUCUUGCCAAGGUUUCGCAAGUGUGGGAUUUCCAGUGAGGAAUUGUUGAAACAGCCACAUUACCAGACGUACAAUAUUAAGUUUUAUGAAGGAGGUUGUGAUAAAUUCCAACUUUUUGUGCUAAAAAAUGCAUGGAGGAUUAAAAGGGAUAUUCUCAAAAUAAAUUAAUUUCAUCGAAGCAACUGCUUCUAUUAUUACAGAAUCCAUUACAGGUUUUGUAUGGAUAGCCUUGAGACAGAAAAUUUUUUAACGUUUUACAUCAUGCUUUUGAUCCUGAAGUCCUUUCAUUUAUUUUUAUUACAUCCUGAAGUCCUUUCAUUUAUUUUGAGUCUGUCACUGCAGCAUCUUCUGGGAUAAACCUGUUUCCUGUAUGUACUGUACCAUACUGUACUGUGGAGGGCACGGAGUGAAUCAGCAUACUCUUGCCCAUGAAAAUUGGAAGCUAAGGGAAAUGGCCAGGAUGGAGUCAUCCUGAACACAGAUUAACGUCUGCUCUUCCUGAGAGCUCUAAUAUCUUUCAAGACUGCAGGUGGUCAAGACCUUGGUUUUCUAUUGCAUUUGAGUGCAGAGAGCGUCAGUCACAACAUUAGUUUAUUGAAUUGGAUACAAAUGUCAUGUACCUGUAUGAACAAUUAUCAGAAUCCCCUAAGAAAUUGCUCCAGCAUUGGCCCCGUUGUUUGUUACUUCAGGGGAAAAAGAUGGGCUUCAAGAGCAAGCUGACCCAGAUGCCAGAUAAAGAUCUUCUCCAGGUUGAAACUGGAAUUCAAUAUAGAAAACUUGCACCAUCAUGAGCCAAGGUCAGUAUAAUUGUGUAACUCAACUAUUUUAGCAGCUGAAUAUUCAACCUGAUUAACCUAUUUAUAGCUUUAUACUAAUUCAGUACCAUUUAUUCCAGAGGCUCCAUGAAAUUUUAUAAACACAGCCAAAGAGGCACCAAUCCAGCAUGCAGUAUUUAAUGAGUUGUUUUUCAUUAAGGCAGGUGAACAGCAAACUCCUGAUGUUGGGCUGAUCCCCUGUCUGCAGCUCCCUCCCUUGGGUGAUGAAGCUGGGUAUUAGCAGUGUCUGAGUUGGAUGGGAAGCAAAUGAGAAACUUAAGAAUAGCAUAAUAAUGCAGCCGUGUAAACCGGUUACAUCGUAGUGCCAUUGCUAGUUAAAGGCCACAGGAUUUGUGCUGAGUUUGCAAGGCCUCAGGGCUGAGGCGCACCACGCUUGCUUUGUCUGAACUUUUAUUGGCCUGCCUGCAGCUUUGUUUUAAUUUGAUUUAGCUGUAACAGCAGUUUUUCUUCUGACCAGGUGGCUACAGCUAAAUUCUUUUACUUCGCUUAUCAUUGCAGUGGUACCGCUGCAGUUCUACACUCUAACAACAUAAUGCAGUAUAGAGAAACAUGGGGCUGGUACGAUGGCUGAGGACUUGAGAGCGUUAGAGCAGAGGAAUACUGGCGUGGGGCGAAAAGAGAUGGGGCACGGGUUUCGCACUGGAGACCCCACAGUGAAGAACUCGCCCAUGGUCAGUUAAAGAAACGCAGACCUGUAGCUGGACAAAACUGGUUUUAGGUUUAACAAAGACAGCCAAGAAAUAUCGUCUAGCAUACUUAAAAGCUGCUCUACAUAGCAAAUUCAGAUGUGAUGUGGAGCUGCAGAACAAUGGGAGGAAGAGGAAAAGUGUAAAACAGGUUAGCAAACGUGUUAAAAUGAACCCAAGUGGAUCUCGGAGACAAAACUACCAACAUGAACAUGAUAGUCCUCCUGGCGAAGACUCCAGAUGCUGAUGACCUGCUGUAGCAGCCUCCCCCCCCCCAAUGACAGCACCGACCAUGGUGCCCCGAGGAGCAGGGGAAGGGGGCCAUAGCGUCACGAAAUGGGGCGGAACAUAGGAAGAGCAAUUUUAACUGGUUUAUUAUUAGCACUGAAAUUUUUUGUGCCUAGAAAAAGCUGCUGCUUUCUGUAAUAACUAAAUCUGGGCUGAUAGUGACUCUUGGAACAGACUGCAAGGAUUUCAACUAUACUUAUAAUAAAUUCUUGGCUUCAUAUAUAGGGUGUGUUUCCUCUUUGCCUAUAAACAAAUUUGGGGGCAUAACAGUAACAAAUACAUUUUAGAACUACAAAA